rnacentral:other from 1 species
ACUGUCCUGCGAUGUGCGUGGAUCGUUGAUUUUUGGGCCCAACACUUUUGUUGGACAGGGAGCCAUAUAGGCCGGGAACGUGACGCCCCGCUCGGCCGGGGUAAGCCGAACCGGCCCGAGGCGCCCACCUGGUUAGACAGGGUCCACAAAAACUCGCGUUCCACGGCAUACGCGGGACUUAU